UACGGAGGGUGCGAGUGUUGUUCGGAAUUAUUGGGCGUAAAGGACGCGUAGGCGGUCAUGAAAGUCAGAUGUGAAAUCCUCCGGCUCAACUGGAGAACUGCAUCUGAAACUUCAUGACUAGAGUACAGGAGAGGGAAACGGAAUUCCCGGUGUAGAGGUGAAAUUCGUAGAUAUCGGGAGGAACACCAGUGGCGAAGGCGGUUUCCUGGCCUGAUACUGACGCUGAGGCGUGAAAGCGUGGGGAGCAAACAGG
rnacentral:rRNA from 1 species